rnacentral:lncRNA from 1 species
AGUGCCUAGAGGUGCUCUGUGUGAAGCUGUCUGUUUACCUCCGUGUUCUCCUCUCCAUCAAUAGCACAUCGACAAGACCGAGAGGCCGGACACACACGCAGAGGGACGGACGCAAGCCUUUUGUCUUCCUGGAGACGUCCUUCGACACCAGAACCACAGAUGUAGUGUUGGUGGAGAAUAGAAUACAGAUGCUCUACUAGUACAUCAUACCUACACUGCCUAGAAUUUAUCCUCGGAUACAAAAUUCCCAUGAAGCUACACAGAGAGACACAUGACAGCUAGGUCUGCUGUCAUGAACUUUCAGCGAGCCCGAGGUGUGUGGUUUCAGUGCGUCAGAAUGUGGUCUUAAUUAAAUGUUUGAAUAUGUUGUAAAGGGGAUUGGGCUAAAUGAAAUGCUUUCUCCUGUUUCCCGAGGCAGGUUUAGAAUGCAAGGUGUACGU